UAGCCGUAAACGAUACUCGCUAGGUGUCGGCCACGGUGCGACCGUUGUCGGUGCCGUAGGGAAGCCGUGAAGCGAGCCACCUGGGAAGUACGGCCGCAAGGUUGAAACUUAAAGGAAUUGGCGGGGGAGCACAACAACGGGUGGAGCUUGCGGUUUAAUUGGAUUCAACGCCGGAAAUCUUACCGGGACCGACAGCAACAUGAAGGCCAAGCUGAAGACUUUGCCGGAUUAGCUGAGAGGAGGUGCAUGGCGUAGUCGUGU
rnacentral:rRNA from 1 species